GCCUCCGUAGCUCAGUUGGUUAGAGCAGCUGACUCUUAAUCAGCGGGUCGUAGGUUCGAGUCCUACCGGGGGUA
rnacentral:tRNA from 1 species